CCCUUAGAUGUUCUGGGCAGCACGCGCGCUACAAUGGUCUUCGCAAACGGAUGCAUUCUCGAAGGAGAAUGCCAAUCUUGGAAUCUAUGCCUUGGUCGGGACAGUUGCUUGCAAUUUUUCGACUCGAACCAGGAAUUCCUUGUAAUCGUGAUUCAUCACAUCACGAUGAAUACGUCCCUGCCCUUUGUACACACCGCCCGUCGCUCCUACCGAUCGAAGAGUUAGGUGAAUUGUUUUGAUCGAUAGGAUUUGACUAUGGUCAACUCUCGUUGUGAAAUUCUGUGAAGCUGACUGUUUAGAGGAAGGAAAAGUCGUAACA
rnacentral:rRNA from 1 species